UAUAACGGUCCUAAGGUAGCGAAAUUCCUUGUCGGGUAAGUUCCGACCCGCACGAAAGGCGUAACGAUUUGGGCACUGUCUCAACGAGAGACUCGGUGAAAUCAUAGUACCUGUGAAGAUGCAGGUUACCCGCGACAGGACGGAAAGACCCCGUGGAGCUUUACUGUAGCCUGAUAUUGAAAUUCGGCACAGCUUGUACAGGAUAGGUAGGAGCCUUUGAAACGUGAGCGCUAGCUUACGUGGAGGCGCUGGUGGGAUACUACCCUAGCUGUGUUGGCUUUCUAACCCGCACCACUUAUCGUGGUGGGAGACAGUGUCAGGCGGGCAGUUUGACUGGGGCGGUCGCCUCCUAAAAGGUAACGGAGGCGCUCAAAGGUUCCCUCAGAAUGGUUGGAAAUCAUUCAUAGAGUGUAAAGGCAUAAGGGAGCUUGACUGCGAGACCUACAAGUCGAGCAGGGUCGAAAGACGGACUUAGUGAUCCGGUGGUUCCGCAUGGAAGGGCCAUCGCUCAACGGAUAAAAGCUACCCCGGGGAUAACAGGCUUAUCUCCCCCAAGAGUUCACAUCGACGGGGAGGUUUGGCACCUCGAUGUCGGCUCAUCGCAUCCUGGGGCUGUAGUCGGUCCCAAGGGUUGGGCUGUUCGCCCAUUAAAGCGGUACGCGAGCUGGGUUCAGAACGUCGUGAGACAGUUCGGUCCCUAUCCGUCGUGGGCGUAGGAAAUUUGAGAGGAGCUGUCCUUAGUACGAGAGGACCGGGAUGGACAUACCUCUGGUGUACCAGUUGUCGUGCCAACGGCAUAGCUGGGUAGCUAUGUGUGGACGGGAUAAGUGCUGAAAG
rnacentral:rRNA from 1 species